GCGCAGCCAUGGAGGGAGGGGGCCGGUGGUGAGCGCCUCGCCAUUCCAGAAAUCUGCCGCUGGCCCUUUGCCGCCAGCUCUGGACGCAAUUUCUCCGCCCGGAGCACCAGCUGGAAUGCUUGUAAAAGAAAUCCUCCACCUCGACGGCGUAUAAACAACUUCAGAGCUCUGCUGGGGUGACGUGGGCUAUGCCUUUGUGGAAAUGUCAGCCUCACUGGUGCCUUGGAAAAGCCAGCAAUAUCUCCAGAUGUUGACAAGCUUGUAGGACUUACAGAGGACUGCUCACAAGGCCAACCAGGGGCCCAAGGACCAACCCUGUCCAAGUCCUUAGGAGAGACUCUGCAGUAGACCCUGGGCCAGAACUGGGAGGAACAUGUUUCUUCAGGUCCACACAUGCUGGCUGGUAAGUUGUUGAUUAAAUGUGGCUGUCCCCAAAAAGGAAUUAUCUCUUCUUGACUGCCUCCAAGCCCCAGGCCAGCAUGGUUUGUGCACCCUCUGAGUGGCAGCUCAGCCCAAAGAAGGUUAUGGGACUCAACUCAGUUCUGGUUAAGUUUUAUAUAGGGACAACAUCCUUGUCCCUUUUUCACAUGGCUUUUCUAGACAAAACAUCCAGGAAAAAGUAGGAGGUGACCAGAAUAAAGGUGAAAUUAUAGGUAUUAGAAGAGGACAAACUGAUUCUGUGGAUGUAGGACAAUAACCCAAAACCCAGGGAAUAAAAAACUUAGACCCCAGGAGCCAUAAAAAUGGAGGGGCAUUAAUAACCUUUUGUCUUUCUGAAUAACCUCUGGUGAGGCCCAGAUAAGAGUCUAGGAAUUAUGUUGGGCUAGAAUGGGGGAAGUAUUAGACCAGAUGGCAGAGGCUGUGAGUUCAUUUUCUCCUUUUAAAUCACUCACAUCACCCUUAAGAAUCCUCUGGGAUUGUUCCAUCUCUCUGUGAUGUAGGAAUGGAAUUCUAGUUAGGAGUGUGCACUCUCAGUGCCCAGCUGUCUGAGGCCACAGUUACUUCAGAUGAUGGGGAAGUAUUGCUUUUUCCUGAGGAGACUUAGUACCCCAUGGCUGAGCUUAAGCUGGAUCCACUUUCUCCUUCCUUUGUGAGCUGGGGCUCCUUCUUCUGUUUUUCUGCUACCUAGAGAUGAAUCUGUAUUUGUCAGUAUUUGAGUAAAUCAGACAUAAAUCAGGUAAGGGGAUCCUAGACCAAGCCCCAAGCAAAGGCUGGCUCUUGCCUCUUUCUUUUCCCACUUUACUAAACCAAUUAUGUUGUCACAGAGAAAUACCAUGAUAUGGGGUCUCUCUGGAAGGUGAAAACAUUGUACAUCUAGAGAAGCUGGCAGUACAGAGCAAAGGUACCACUGGGAAUCUGUCCACAUUUUCCAGUUUAUCUGUAUGUGGUAAAUGAAUCCAGGAAACAUCCCAGAGCCUUGGAAGGGAUUAUUAAGAGAGGGCAGGGUCACUGUAGAUCAAAGCACUGCGACACAUGCUCAUCAGUCACCUUCUGAGGUCAAAUGCUCAGGUUAAGCCCGUGUGGUAGGGGUGCAGAGCAGUGCGUGCCUGUGAAAGCCUCUGAUCAUGAGUGAAAGGUCUGGCUCAGGGACAAGUCGAUCUGACAGAACAUCAUGCUUUUGUGGGUGUGAAAGUCUGCGCUGUUCCACAGCAGAGCACCACUGAUUGAAUAAUUACUUGAGGAUCAUGCAUGAAUAGGCCUUUUUUUAAAAUUUCUAAAGCAAUAAAACAAAAUAUUUUUAUCCACUGUCAAAUUGAGUAUGAAUGUGAGUAACUUCAGUGAAAAUGUCAUAUGAGAGAACUCUGGGGCCCUGUCCACCACAGAAACCUGAAGAAUCCUGGUAUAGUCAGAAUUAACCUCAUUAAAAAAUGAUUUUUUUUGCCAUAUAGAUUUAUCUUUCAUUGGACCUUUAUUUUGUUUUAGGUUCUGAAGAAUAAAUCAAUUUUCCCCUUUGUGAUAGUAACAUCAAAUUCCCACACCCCAAGUAUUAAUGAUGGUGUCCCCACUGUAGUUUCAUUAAUUACAAACUUUCUGUUAUGGGCUGA